GAGGGUAUAGCUCAAGUGGUAGAGCACAUACUUAGCAUACACAAGGUCCUGGGUUCAAUCCCCAGUACCUCCU
rfam:Camelus ferus unplaced genomic scaffold scaffold994, whole genome shotgun sequence.